AUGGAGUCACACACCCAGAUCUUUGUAUUUUUGCUCCUCUGGUUGUCUGGUGCUGAGGGGAACAUUGUGAUGACCCAGACUCCUGAAUUCAUGUCCACAUCUGUUGGAGAGAGAAUUACCUUAAGCUGCAAGUCUAGUCAGAGUGUGAGUGGUUGGGUAGCUUGGUACCAGCAGAAACCAGGGCAGCCUCCUAAACUGCUAAUCUAUGGUGCAUCCAAUAGAUAUACUGGGGUCCCUGAUUGCUUCACAGGCAGUGGAUCUGGGACAGAUUACACUCUCACCAUCAGCCAUGUGCAGGCUGAAGACCUGGCAGAUUACUACUGUCAGCAGUAUAGCAGCUCUCCUCCCACAGUGCUUUAG